rnacentral:lncRNA from 1 species
UUUUGUUUUUCUAAACCACAUAUCUCUUGGUUUCCAGAACUUAGAUGCAGAUGCCCCAGGGGAAGCAGAGAUCAAGUAAAACUCAGGAAUUACAAAGAGUCUGUUCACUCUUGUACCCUGUGUAGAAAAAGAAGCUCUGGUUCCUCCUCCUCAACAACUCCAGCUUAUUCACAGAAGAGAAUCUCCACUCAAAAGGCUCAAAAACCCAAUCAGCCAGGUGGAGAUGUAACCAGACUUUGUGAAAGGAAAUCCUUAGUGGCUGCCAAAACCUGCUGUUCAAGCACAUAUGAUAAAAUUAUCCUUUCACAUCAAUACAUACCCAGUAAGAAAUCUGCCCAGAGAAAAUCUGCAAUCAACAUCAGAGACGGAAAUGCCAGUGAUUCCUAUGCAAAUGUCUUAAGUUCUACUCUGGAUCAUGCCAUAGAGACAGCAAACAGUUUGAAGAAAGCUACAGAACGAAUGGUACAAGCAGUUUCAGAAGAUCUAGCUAAAGUUAAGAGAAAACAGUUUUAAUUAUCUAGUUCAAAUGCUAUAUUGUUCUGCUGAUUCAUACUGAAGUGUUAGUAUCUCUGCAAAAAUCAAAUGAUGAACACAAACAUGAAAAGGUCAGCUAGCUAACUUUGUCAGCUGUUCUGUACCUGUUGGUACUAAACCAAACCAGAGCACAUAGGCAUUCCACAUUUACACUCAGUCUUAGAACUGUAAAACAAAUCAUUAAUUCUACUGAAAGUCUUUAGAAGGUUGGCUAAUUCCAUUACUGUGUACAGACACCUUCUGCAAGUAUUCACUUAAGACAGCUUCAUAAAGUUUAGCUUAAACUAGCAAAAAUAACUUUCUGACUUGGAUUUCUCCCCAUUUCCAAGUGUGAGAAUAAAUCCCAGUCAUUACUACA